GACGAACGCUGGCGGCGUGCUUAACACAUGCAAGUCGAACGAAGAGCGAUGGAAGCUUGCUUCUAUCAAUCUUAGUGGCGAACGGGUGAGUAACGCGUAAUCAACCUGCCCUUCAGAGGGGGACAACAGUUGGAAACGACUGCUAAUACCGCAUACGAUCUAACCUCGGCAUCGAGGAAAGAUGAAAGGUGGCCUCUAUGUAUAAGCUAUCACUGAAGGAGGGGAUUGCGUCUGAUUAGCUAGUUGGAGGGGUAACGGCCCACCAAGGCGAUGAUCAGUAGCCGGUCUGAGAGGGUGAACGGCCACAUUGGGACUGAGACACGGCCCAGACUCCUACGGGAGGCAGCAGUGGGGAAUCUUCCGCAAUGGACGAAAGUCUGACGGAGCAACGCCGCGUGAGUGAUGACGGCCUUCGGGUUGUAAAGCUCUGUUAAUCGGGACGAAAGGCCUUCUUGCGAAUAGUGAGAAGGAUUGACGGUACCGGAAUAGAAAGCCACGGCUAACUACGU
rnacentral:rRNA from 1 species